rnacentral:rRNA from 1 species
CGGGGGCGGGACGCGGCGGGGCGAAAUAAUUUGCGCAGUAUAGGUGGGAGGCGUUGAAAAAUUCUUGCGGGAAUCUUGGAGCCAUCAGUGAGAUACCACUCUUGUAAUGUUAGAUUUCUAACUUUGUAUCAUUAUCUGGUCAAAGAACAGUCUCAGGCGGGCAGUUUGACUGGGGCGGUCGCCUCCCAAAUGGUAACGGAAGCGCACAAAGGUUUCCUCUGAACGGGUAGAAAUCGUAUCUAGAAUGUAAAGGCAUAAAGAAACUUGACUGUGAGACCUACAAGUCGAACAAGGACGAAAGUCGGUCUUAAUGAUCUGACGGUGCUGAGUGGAAAGGCCGUCACUCAACGGAUAAAAGUUACUCUAGGAAACAACAGGCUGAAA